GACGAACGCUAGCGGCGUGCCUAAUACAUGCAAGUCGAACGAAGCUUUCUUUCACCGAAUGCUUGCAUUCAUCGAAAGAAGCUUAGUGGCGAACGGGUGAGUAACACGUAGGCAACCUGCCCAAAAGAGGGGGAUAACACUUGGAAACAGGUGCUAAUACCGCAUAACCAUGAACACCGCAUGAUGUUCAUGUAAAAGACGGCUUUUGCUGUCACUUUUGGAUGGGCCUGCGGCGUAUUAACUUGUUGGUGGGGUAACGGCCUACCAAGGUGAUGAUACGUAGCCGAACUGAGAGGUUGAUCGGCCACAUUGGGACUGAGACACGGCCCAAACUCCUACGGGAGGCAGCAGUAGGGAAUCUUCCACAAUGGGCGAAAGUCUGAUGGAGCAACGCCGCGUGAAUGAAGAAGGCCCUCGGGUCGUAAAAUUCUGUUGUCAGAGAAGAACGUGCGUGAGAGUAACUGUUCACGUAUUGACGGUAUCUGACCAGAAAGCCACGGCUAACUACGUGCCAGCAGCCGCGGUAAUACGUAGGUGGCGAGCGUUGUCCGGAUUUAUUGGGCGUAAAGGGAACGCAGGCGGUCUUUUAAGUCUGAUGUGAAAGCCUUCGGCUUAACCGAAGUAGUGCAUUGGAAACUGGAAGACUUGAGUGCAGAAGAGGAGAGUGGAACUCCAUGUGUAGCGGUGAAAUGCGUAGAUAUAUGGAAGAACACCAGUGGCGAAAGCGGCUCUCUGGUCUGUAACUGACGCUGAGGUUCGAAAGCGUGGGUAGCAAACAGGAUUAGAUACCCUGGUAGUCCACGCCGUAAACGAUGAGUGCUAAGUGUUGGAGGGUUUCCGCCCUUCAGUGCUGCAGCUAACGCAUUAAGCACUCCGCCUGGGGAGUACGGUCGCAAGACUGAAACUCAAAGGAAUUGACGGGGGCCCGCACAAGCGGUGGAGCAUGUGGUUUAAUUCGAAGCAACGCGAAGAACCUUACCAGGUCUUGACAUCUUCUGACAAUUCCAGAGAUGGAACGUUCCCUUCGGGGACAGAAUGACAGGUGGUGCAUGGUUGUCGUCAGCUCGUGUCGUGAGAUGUUGGGUUAAGUCCCGCAACGAGCGCAACCCUUAUUGUCAGUUGCCAUCAUUAAGUUGGGCACUCUGGCGAGACUGCCGGUGACAAACCGGAGGAAGGUGGGGAUGACGUCAAAUCAUCAUGCCCCUUAUGACCUGGGCUACACACGUGCUACAAUGGACGGUACAACGAGUCGCUAACUCGCGAGGGCAAGCUAAUCUCUUAAAGCCGUUCUCAGUUCGGAUUGCAGGCUGCAACUCGCCUGCAUGAAGCCGGAAUCGCUAGUAAUCGCGAAUCAGCAUGUCGCGGUGAAUACGUUCCCGGGCCU
rnacentral:rRNA from 1 species